UGAGAUCAUGACCUGAGCUGCAGUCGGAUGCUUGACCAGCUGAGCCACCCAGGCGCCCCCUAAUCAACGUUUACAACAACCUUAUGACGUCAGCCAACAUGACUACAGGAAGGACCUACUUUGGAGAUGUCAGCGGAGGUCUACAUUGGAAACCUUUCAUGCAUGUGAGGCUCCUGACCCCCCUCCCGCUGCCCCGCUGCGUGGGCCUAACCAACCACCAGCAAGUGGAACUGAAUGGGCUUUACUCACGGAAAGGCCUGCGGCCCAGAGUGUAGGGAGAGCAGACGUCUUCUGGACGGGGCCAGCUGUGGCUGUCCACGGAGCUGACACAGACCGGGAGUGUGCAUCCCCGGGUUGGGGAGGGGGGCCCAGAGGGACUGUCCAGCCUGGGAGUUGGGGAGCAGGGGGGAGCAGCCACAUCAUGAGGCCCAGACAGUGGCCCAGUAGUGGGCCCAGGCCUCUGCCUUAUGUCUGGGGAGCUGGGUGAGGAGAAGGGAGCAGCCCGGAGCACCAGAAACCCGCACACACACAGCGUGGCCCACGGUCUGUGCUGGAGACCAAACCCUCAAUCCGCCUGGACUAAUCUUGCGUAAAAGACAAUAAUAGUAAUAAAGGCAUAUGAUGUACAA